rnacentral:rRNA from 1 species
UACGUAGGGUGCGAGCAUUAAUCGGAUUUAUUGGGCGUAAAGGGCGCGUAGGCGGGAAGGUAAGUCAGAUGUGAAAGCCCGGGGCUCAACCCCGGAACAGCAUUUGAAACUGCCAUUCUAGAGGGUAGGCGGAGAAAAUGGAAUUCCACAAGUAGCGGUGAAAUGCGUAGAUAUGUGGAAGAACACCAGUGGCGAAGGCGGUUUUCUAGCUUAUACCUGACGCUGAGGCGCGAAAGCAAGGGGAGCAAACAGG